rnacentral:misc_RNA from 1 species
GAUGAAGAACGCAGCGAAAUGCGAUACGUAAUGUGAAUUGCAAAUUCAGUGAAUCAUCGAGUCUUUGAACGCACAUUGCGCCCCUUGGUAUUCCAUGGGGCAUGCCUGUUCGAGCGUCAUUUGUACCUUCAAGCUUUGCUUGGUGUUGGGUGUUUGUCCUGAGGGACUCGCCUUAAAGUAAUUGGCAGCCAGUGUUUUGGUUUUGAAGCGCAGCACAAGUCGCGAUUCAAGGCUAUACGCCAGCUUCAACAAGCCUUUUUCACUUUUGACCUCGGAUCAGGUAGGGAUACCCGCUGAACUUAAGCAUAUCAAUAAGCGGAGGA